rnacentral:rRNA from 1 species
CCCUUAGACGUUCUGGGCCGCACGCGCGCUACACUGACCAGUGCAACAAGCAUCCGUCCUUGGCCGACAGGCUCGGGCAAUCUUUGAACGCUGGUCGUGGUGGGGAUAGACUUUUGCAAUUUUUGGUCUUCAACGAGGAAUUCCUAGUAAACGCAAGUCAUCAACUUGCAUUGAUUACGUCCCUGCCCUUUGUACACACCGCCCGUCGCACCUACCGAUUGAAUGGUCCGGUGAAGCCUCCGGAUUGGCGCGCACCUCGGUGCCGCCGAGAAGUUGGCUAAACCUUACCAUUUAGAGGAAGGUGAAGUCGUAACA